CGGUGAGCUCCAGCUUGCUGGAGUGGAUCAGUGGCGAACGGGUGAGUAACACGUGAGCAACCUGCCCCGAACUCUGGGAUAAGCGCUGGAAACGGCGUCUAAUACCGGAUACGCACCAGAGCGGCAUCGUUACUGGUGGGAAAGAUUUUUUGGUUCGGGAUGGGCUCGCGGCCUAUCAGCUUGUUGGUGAGGUAACGGCUCACCAAGGCGUCGACGGGUAGCCGGCCUGAGAGGGUGACCGGCCACACUGGGACUGAGACACGGCCCAGACUCCUACGGGAGGCAGCAGUGGGGAAUAUUGCACAAUGGGCGCAAGCCUGAUGCAGCAACGCCGCGUGAGGGACGACGGCCUUCGGGUUGUAAACCUCUUUUAGCAGGGAAGAAGCGAAAGUGACGGUACCUGCAGAAAAAGCGCCGGCUAACUACGUGCCAGCAGCCGCGGUAAUACGUAGGGCGCAAGCGUUAUCCGGAAUUAUUGGGCGUAAAGAGCUCGUAGGCGGUCUGUCGCGUCUGCUGUGAAAACCCGAGGCUCAACCUCGGGCCUGCAGUGGGUACGGGCAGACUAGAGUGCGGUAGGGGAGAUUGGAAUUCCUGGUGUAGCGGUGGAAUGCGCAGAUAUCAGGAGGAACACCGAUGGCGAAGGCAGAUCUCUGGGCCGUAACUGACGCUGAGGAGCGAAAGGGUGGGGAGCAAACAGGCUUAGAUACCCUGGUAGUCCACCCCGUAAACGUUGGGAACUAGUUGUGGGGGCCUUUCCACGGUCUCCGUGACGCAG
rnacentral:rRNA from 1 species